AGUGAACGCUGGCGGUAGGCCUAACACAUGCAAGUUGAACGGCAGCACAGUAAGAGCUUGCUCUUACGGGUGGCGAGUGGCGGACGGGUGAGGAAUACAUCGGUAUCUACUUUUUCGUGGGGGAUAACGUAGGGAAACUUACGCUAAUACCGCAUACGACCUACGGGUGAAAGCAGGGGAUCUUCGGACCUUGCGCGAUUGAAUGAGCCGAUGUCGGAUUAGCUAGUUGGCGGGGUAAAGGCCCACCAAGGCGACGAUCCGUAGCUGGUCUGAGAGGAUGAUCAGCCACACUGGAACUGAGACACGGUCCAGACUCCUACGGGAGGCAGCAGUGGGGAAUAUUGGACAAUGGGCGCAAGCCUGAUCCAGCCAUACCGCGUGGGUGAAGAAGGCCUUCGGGUUGUAAAGCCCUUUUGUUGGGAAAGAAAAGCAGCAGGUUAAUACCCCGCUGUUCUGACGGUACCCAAAGAAUAAGCACCGGCUAACUUCGUG
rnacentral:rRNA from 1 species